UGUUUAUUUGCAAUUUAAGUGAAUUUCUUUGAAACAAAGAGAAUAAAAGUUUGAAGAGUUGCUGGUUGUAUCAUAAAGUCAGAAAUGCUGUGGUGUCAUUGGCCUGCAGAACAUGGCUGCAGCCCUUCCUGAAAGGCUUGAUAACCUUCUCAUGGCCACUUUUUUUUCUGGCAGAAGGGCAUAAAAGGAGAGAAGAGGCCAUAGAAAACGGAGGAUCUAUUUCACAGAUCAUCAAGCAUCAAAGGCAUGCAGUGUGUCAACAGCCGGUCUAAGCAGAAACACCGUCAUCAUAAAUUCCUUGAAGAUCCCCUAAAGAAGAUCGAGUGAUUUGGGAAUUUAUGGGAAUGAAUUUCUUUUUUGUCCUGGGACCUCCCCUUCAUCUAUUGAGAGAGAUAAAUGAAAGCUGAGGGGAUAUGUGUUGUGCAGGGUGAUGAACUGUGUGAAUGCUCAGAAUGAAUCUCACUGAACCUGUCUGUCACACACACUUACUGUCCUGUAAAGAUGCUAUUUAUACUUUCAACCCGUUCAGUAAAAGAACGCAUUUGGAAAAGCUUCUUCUUCUCCUGACAUUCGUAUACUGAUCUUCACUUUGGAUUUUCAUCUCAGUUGCAAUUGUCUGUGCAGAUUCUCAUUCAUCCGGGUUGAUUCCUUGCUGCGAUCCAGCAGAUAAGUACCACAAAAUGUUGUGUUAUUUCUGGGCAAAAAAUGCAUGAGACAACAUUAAACGUGAUGAGUUGUAUGCUCAAACAUGAGACUGCAACAUGUUGAAAUCAUUGGAAUGUGGUGAUUAGCUUCAUGAAUCUGACAAGAUCCACCUUUAACCAUAGACAGUAAAGCUCACUGGACAGCUUGACCCCUCCCCCCUUGUGUUCCAAACAGGUAGUACUUGUUGGCCCCAAGAAGCCAAAAUCCUUCUAUUGAGAAAUAAACAGCUAGUUUAUUGCUAAUCCUAUGUUAGUUCCUAUUAAACAUUGCUAAUCCUAUGUUUUGUUUUCAUUAUAUUUUUUCUUUAUCGCAAGUUAAUUCAAGUUAUAAACUGUUAUGAACAAGUUAUCAAGUGUUGUCCGCUGGCUCCCACCGUGAACGUUUGAUUGGCAGAUUUUCCCGAGCAGCUUUCAGUGGAAAGGGUGUGGACUUCAGACAAGCUUACUAAUGUUUAGGGACAGUUGCCCUAGAAACGUGACUCAGACUGACUCAGACCAAUCACUGUAGACUGGCUCCAAAUGGCGGUGCCCGCAUCACAGAAAAAUAUGAACUGAAAUGACUUCAUUUUGCUAGAUGUUGUCUACAGUACAUUUUUCAUUUAUCUUUUCAUCAGUAAUAAAGUCAUCAUGUAAUUGUGCAUAACUAUCCCACAAGCUUUAUUUACUGUAGUUUCCUGAGUUGUUGCAUUCUUAGUGUUUCACCGUAACGACAAUAAAAUUGAAAUUAUAAACGAAUGACUAAUAUAAUUUGCAAUUUCGCAUAUAUACUACUAUAUAGUAUAGUCUACAUUGUGCUUUUUCCUCUGGGUUUUUUAAAUAUUUUAUAUAUAUUAUAAUAUUUUUUUAAGUCUUUUUUUAUAUCAUACGGUAAUUAGUGUCACAUACUCCUUUUCUGUCCUCAGAUGCGCUGCUGAAGUUUCUCAGUUUGUCCUCUGCAAAUCCUCCUGUCACUUCCACAUCAGCAGCUCAUCUCAGCACUGAUGCGGCAGCAUCAAGCGCCGCUCCAGUCAUCUCCACCUCAGCGGUGCAACUCAAAAGUGAUGCAGCAGCAUCAAGCGCUUUUUCUCCUCCAAUAGACCCAGGUCACUGGCCAUCUCCUCAACUGGGGGAGACGGAGUCAUUCCAGAUUCCUGUUGGCUUGUCCGUGCUCCUGUACUUGGCCGUGGAUCUCGCCUCUGGCUCGUCUCACGCCCCAGCCGUCCCCCAGUUCCCUCUUGAUGAAGCCUAUUUGCUGGACUGUUCAAACAUUUAGUUGUAGAGUUAGAUAAGCUAAAUCUUCUCUAAGAGUUCUAGUACAUUGGCUAUCCAUCCUGGGAGAGGAUCCCUCCUUCAUGUGGACAUCCCUGAGGUUUUUUCUUCUUUUUUUCCUGGAAUCUGUUUUUUUAGGAGUUUUUUUCUUACCAACAAGGAGGUCUAAGGCAAUGCCCAGUUUAGCAUAGUCUGUUUAGUUUAUUUUAGAGUCAGCUAUUGUAUUUUAUAACUGAUUUUAUGUAACAAUUGAUGAAGCCAGUAGAGACAACUGGGUUGUAAUAUUGGACUAUAUAAAUGAAAUGGAGUUAAAUUGAUAUCUCUAAUAUAAACUUAGAUCAAGGAAUGAGCAUCUUCCCAAAUAAAGAAAGCCCCAGGAAUGCUUUCACAUUAGUCAAGGGACGUGAAUCAUUUUGGCGAGGAGUGAUGAAAAACUGUCACUCGAAAUUUAAUUUAGUUUGAUUUUACACCUGAGUGAACCAAACCAGGAAAUAACAUGCAGUCACAACAGCUGCUCAUGUGCAGGUGGUGCUUCAAGUAAACAGCUCUAAGUCUAUAUAAAGAAAUCAUUGUUGUGUGAAUAAUGCAUUUUCAAAAUUAGCUAAAUGUCAAGGUUACAUUCUUAAAAAUGGGCAACUUUUCAAAGCCAAAGUAUUUUAAUAAUCUCAAAGCACCCUUCAUUGUUAUCUUUUAUUUUAUUUUAAUAAUUUUUUCCAGUUCCUAUUUCAUUUAAUAAUCAUAAAUUAAUAUCAAAUGAAAGAUUAAUUUGUGUAAAUAUAAAAUUUGAGAGGCCAAGGAAAGUGUGUCAUAUUGUGAUGUCUUGCUAGGACUGAUGCAGCAAAUAAAUGUUUUUGAGAAGAAAAAAAAAACUCUGGAAAAAAGCUAGAAAUUUCAUAUGAAGCCUAAAUUUGUUCUGCACUACAUCCUAAAAAAAUCUGGAAGUGUUAGUAAAACUUUAAAGGCUCUGAUAUUUUUUUCAGAACACUCCUUGACAUUGCUGAUUUCAGAAUAAAAGCAGAUUUAAUAGCUCUUUAGCUAAUUGAAGGCUUAGAUCACUGCUUUUAACAGUGCCGUAUUUUAGACUUUUUUUUUUUUAGUCUUUUAGUGUACAAAAAGGAAAAUUAACACACUUACCGGGUUGCUUUUUUGUUUUGUAAGAGCUCAAUUGUGCCUUUUGAGGGGUUUAUUUUUGAUCAGUUGGAUUGCCCCAAAAACUCUCACUUCAAUUUAUUUGGUACACUUUCAUUUUUUCAAAUGAAGUGUGUUAUAAUGUUCAUUCCUAACUAUGACCUAACAUGGGUAAAAAAAAAUAAUGAAUUCGAUCCCACGAAACAAUAAUUCGUUCCUAUGAAAUAAUUUGUUCCCACGAAAUAAUGAUUCACGUGAUAAGUCGGAUGUGAGCAAUACUCGGAAAAGUGCAUCUUGGGUCAAAUUAUAUUAAAUUGAAAACACUUUAUUUUCAGAGUCAAAUGUAAAUUUGUGUUGUGGGUUCUACACAUUUCCCUUACAUGGGUUUUCCUGUAGUGUGAUUCUUUCCCAGUCGUUACUGCAGUUUUAAUGCCUUUCGCUCAGUCCUCGGCUGGCGAAAUGCAAAAGGUUUACAAGACUUGACAGACUCAGCCAUUAAAGAUGGCUUCUCUUCGCCGCUACCUGGCAUGCUUUUGCAGUAAGUGAGCAUAGCUGUCAAAUUUGGCUGUCUCUGAGCAGAGAGUUGUCCUCCUGUAAUUCAGGCAGACUCAAAUUGUGUAUUUUUCCUGAAAUCCGUGGCUGUUAAAACCAUUUGUUGGAAUUGCAAUUGAGUUCCUGUCAUUAUUGACAUUGGAUUGUACAAUAUAUAGGAAGUGAAAGAUGUUCUUUUUUACUCUGUCUUUAAUAAUCUGGGAUGUUAAGCCAACCCUGUGGGGCAAACUACAAAAGCAGAGCCUAUUCUGAUCUGAAUGGGGGAUCUAAAAUGAGAAGAAGGUUUUAGAAACCUGGAAGACAGGCUGGAACGAAGGUGGAGCUGCCCCUUAGUCGGACAGUUUGUGACCUUGACUGUCUUAACACGUCCUUGGAUAAAGUUCCUAACCCUGUGCUGCCGCUGAUGUGCUCAUUAUGUGACAAAUGAAGACUUCAAAAGGCUAUUAGAGAAAACUGUAUGGAAUUAGAUGCAUUGAAAAGUGCUUUGGGUGGUGAACUAGACCUUACAUGCAAUCCAUUUUCUAUUCAUAAAGCUUAAAUGCUCCAAGAUUUCUGCUAGGCUUUAAUAAAGGAGUGCUGUAAUUACCA